rnacentral:ncRNA from 2 species
UUCGCGAAAUCUGUAAAUGGUGUUGGAAUAUUUGCUUUAGCAAAUAGACCUCUUAAAUGGGAAGUCAGGUGCAUUUAGGCUCUUAGCCUAAAGAACUCCUGCGCUGCCCCCGCAACGGUGAUUGACAAACGAUUGUCACAAGCCCGAUACCAGCCUUUUACAGAGUGCCUCA